rnacentral:ncRNA from 1 species
UUAAAUUUUAAAUUAAUCUAAUAAUAGUUAAUUAUUUAAUUAUUUAUUUUAUUUAUAUAUAUAAGUAUUUGUGUAAAUUAUUUAAAUAAUAAAAUUAAAAUUAAUAUAUAAAAUUAUAUAAUUUAAGAAAUUAAUAUAUAGAAAAUUAAUUAAUAUAGGUUUAUUUUGUGCCAGCAUCAGCGGUUAAACAAAAUAUAUAAAUUAAAUUUAUUUAUUAUUAUUUAUAUUAUUUAAAUUUAAUAAAAUUUAUUUUUUUAAGAUAAAAUAAAAAUUUUAUAUUUAUUAAAUUAUUAUUAAUAAAAAAUUAUGAAGUAAUUUAAAAGACUAGGAUUAGAGACCCUAUUAUUAUUAUUAAAUUAAUUAAUAGAUUAGUAAAAUUAAAAAUUGAAAAUUAAAUUAUUUGACGGUAUUUUAAUCUAAUUAGAGGAACUUGUUAUUUAAUAUGAUGAUACACGAUAAGAAUUAUUUAAAAUAUUAUAUUUAUGUAUGUUCGUUAUAAAAAUAUUUUAUAAAAAUUAAAUUUUUUAAUAAUUAUAUUUAAUUUUAUUUCAGAUCAAUAUGUAAUUAGUUUUUAAGAAUAAAUGAGUUACAAUAAUUAUAAUUUAUGGAUAUAUAAUUUUAAAUAUUAUAUUGAAAUUGGAUUUAAUAGUAAAAUUUUUAAAUAAGAAAAUUUGAAUAUAGUAUAAAAUAUGUACAAAUUGCCCGUCGCUUCUUUAGAUCGAAUAAGUCGUAACAAAGUAAUUGUACUGGAAAGUGUAAUUAGAAU